CCUACGGGAGGCAGCAGUGGGGAAUAUUGCGCAAUGGGCGAAAGCCUGACGCAGCGACGCCGCGUGAGGGAUGAAGGUCUUCGGAUCGUAAACCUCUGUCAGCAGGGAAGAACGGUCACUGUGCUAUUCAGCAGUGAAUUGACGGUACCUGCAAAGGAAGCACCGGCUAACUCCGUGCCAGCAGCCGCGGUAAUACGGAGGGUGCGAGCGUUAAUCGGAAUUACUGGGCGUAAAGCGCUCGUAGGCGGUAUGUCAAGUCAAGGGUGAAAUCCCCGCGCGCAACGUGGGAACUGCCUUUGAAACUGGCAGACUGGAGUGUGGGAGAGGAUAGUGGAAUUCCAGGUGUAGGGGUGAAAUCCGUAGAUAUCUGGAGGAACAUCAGUGGCGAAGGCGACUAUCUGGCACAUAACUGACGCUGAGGAGCGAAAGCGUGGGUAGCAAACAGGAUUAGAUACCCCAGUAGUC
rnacentral:rRNA from 1 species